AUCUCUGUAGAGUCUGCAUAUCAAUAAGCGGAGGAAAAGAAACUAACUAGGAUUCCCUCAGUAACGGCGAGUGAAGCGGGAAGAGCUCAAAUUUGAAAUCUUCAAGGUUUUACCUUGACGAAUUGUAGUCUAAAGAAGUGUUUUCUGUUGAAGUUUCGGUAAAAGUUCUUUGGAAUAGGACAUCAUAGAGGGUGAGAAUCCCGUAUUUGACCGUUAUUUUCAGCUGUGUGAUACACUUUCAAAGAGUCGGAUUGUUUGGGAAUGCAGUCCAAAAUGGGUGGUAAAUUUCAUCUAAAGCUAAAUAUUGGCGAGAGACCGAUAGCGAACAAGUACCGUGAGGGAAAGAUGAAAAGAACUUUGAAAAGAGAGUUAAACAGUACGUGAAAUUGUCAAAAGGGAAGCGUUUGACACCAGUGUUGUUUUCUCGAAAAUCAAUUAAAAAAGGCAGGAUUUUGUGUUGUAUUGACUUUAUCAGCUUUCUGCACUCUUUUCUUGUCUUUUUUUAAUGCACUUUUCGUUUAACAAGUCAACAUCAAUUUCUUUUGUUGUAAAAGAGUCAUUGGAAGGUGGCUUUCACUUCGGUGAAAGUGUUUAUAGCCUUCGGCUUCUGCAAUCGGAGAGAUUGAGGUCUGCAGCGUAGAUCCUUCGGGGCUAGAUAUGUAGAUGCUAAGUUAUAGUUUUUUAUAGACAACUUGUUGACUAUAAUUAAUCAUGUAGCUUACUCGUUUGCGCUAUUUUACCUACGCUUAGGAUGUUGAUAGUCACAGCGUGUAC
rnacentral:rRNA from 1 species